GCUUAGCCCUAAACUUCAAUAGUUAAAAUAACAAAACUACUCGCCAGAACACUACAAGCAACAGCUUAAAAAUCAAAGGACUUGGCGGUGCUCCAUACCCCCUAGAGGAGCCUGUUCUAUAAUCGAUAAACCCCGAUCCACCCUACCAUCUCUCGCUCAGCCUAUAUACCGCCAUCUUCAGCAAACCUCAACAAGAGAUAUGAAGUAAGCACAAAUGCCCACGCAAAAACGUUAGGUCAAGGUGUAGCCUAUGAGCUGGGAAAAAAUGGGCUACAUUUUCUAUUACAGAAAAUCUACGAUAACUCUUAUGAAACUUAAGAGUCCAAGGAGGAUUUAGCAGUAAACUAAGAAUAGAGUGCUUAGUUGAACUAGGCCAUGAAGCAUGC
rnacentral:rRNA from 1 species